rnacentral:rRNA from 1 species
UAACUGCGAGUGAAGCGGGAAAAGCUCAAAUUUAAAAUCUGGCAGUCUAUGACUGUCCGAGUUGUAACCUAUAGAAGUGUUACCCACACUGGACCAUGUAUAAGUCUCCUGGAAUGGAGCGUCACAGAGGGUGAGAAUCCCGUGUAUGACAUGGACCGCCAGUGUAUUGUGGUAUGCUCUCAAAGAGUUGAGUUGUUUGGGAAUGCAGCUCUAAAUGGGUGGUAAAUUCCAUCUAAAGCUAAAUAUGGGCGAGAGACCGAUAGCGAACAAGUACCGUGAGGGAAAGAUGAAAAGAACUUUGGAAAGAGAGUUAAACAGUAUGUGAAAUUGUUGAAAGGGAAACGUUUGAAGUCAGUGAUGUUGGUCAGGGAUCAAUGCAUCAAGAUUGCUGUGUGCAUUUUCUGACCAAUAGGCCAACAUGAGUUUUGACCACUGAAGAAAGACUGGGGGAAUGUGGCACUUAUAAAAGUGUGUUAUAGCCCUUAAUCAUAUGCAGUGGUUAGGACUGAGGAUUUGCAGCGCGCCGCAAGGCCGGGUUUCGACCACGUCCGCGCUAAAGAUGUUGGCAAAAUGGCUUUAAGCGACCCGUC